rnacentral:rRNA from 1 species
GAGUUUGAUCGUGGCUCAGGACGAACGCUGGCGGCGUGCUUAACACAUGCAAGUCGAACGGUGAAGUCCCAGCUUGCUGGGAGUGGAUCAGUGGUGGACGGGUGAGUAACACGUGAGCAACCUGCCCUCCACUUCGGGAUAAGCCUUGGAAACGGGGUCGUAAUACCGGAUAUGAGCCUGCAUCGCAUGGUGUGGGUUGGAAAGUUUUUCGGUGGGGAUGGGCUCGCGGCCUAUCAGCUUGUUGGUGGGGUGAUGGCCGUACCAAGGCGUCGACGGGUAGCCGGCCUGAGAGGGCGACCGGCCACACUGGGACUGAGACACGGCCCAGACUCCUACGGGAGGCAGCAGUGGGGAAUAUUGCACAAUGGGCGAAAGCCUGAUGCAGCGACGCCGCGUGAGGGAUGACGGCCUCGGUUGUUAA